rnacentral:lncRNA from 1 species
GGUGUCUCUCUUUGGGAAUCGUCGGCUAAAAAGGUAAAGUGGAAGUCCCCCCUCCCCCCACUGGUGUUGGCACUAGGGGCCCUGGCUGCUGCCUGGGCUUCUGCAGUUGUACCUCUUUCCGGCAGGUUCUCCAUGGUGAUAGACAAGGGCGUAGUAAAGGCACUGAACGUGGAGCCGGAUGGCACAGGCCUCACCUGCAGCCUGGCCCCCAACAUCCUCUCACAACUCUGAGGCCCUGACCAGAAUGUCCUCUGACUCUCCCAUCUCCUCCACCCAGCUCUGGGCCAAAGGCCCAGUACCUCCUUACCUGAGGGCCACUGGAAUGGAACCUUGACAAUAUUUCUGCAAUAAACAGUUUAAUUUGU